AUUGAACGCUGGCGGCAGGCCUAACACAUGCAAGUCGAGCGGAUGAAGGGAGCUUGCUCCUGGAUUCAGCGGCGGACGGGUGAGUAAUGCCUAGGAAUCUGCCUGGUAGUGGGGGAUAACGUCCGGAAACGGGCGCUAAUACCGCAUACGUCCUGAGGGAGAAAGUGGGGGAUCUUCGGACCUCACGCUAUCAGAUGAGCCUAGGUCGGAUUAGCUAGUUGGUGGGGUAAAGGCCUACCAAGGCGGCGAUCCGUAACUGGUCUGAGAGGAUGAUCAGUCACACUGGAACUGAGACACGGUCCAGGCUCCUACGGGAGGCAGCAGUGGGGAAUAUUGGGCAGUAGGCGAAAGCCUGAUCCAGCCAUGCCGCGUGUGUGAAGAAGGUCUUCGGAUUGUAAAGCACUUUAAGUUGGGAGGAAGGGCAGUAAGUUAAUACCUUGCUGUUUUGACGUUACCAACAGAAUAAGCACCGGCUAACUUCGUG
rnacentral:rRNA from 1 species